UACGGAGGGUGCAAGCGUUAUCCGGAUUCACUGGGUUUAAAGGGUGCGUAGGAGGGCAGGUAAGUCAGUGGUGAAAUCUCCAAGCUUAACUUGGAACUGCCGUUGAUACUAUCUGUCUUGAAUAUUGUGGAGGUGAGCGGAAUAUGUCAUGUAGCGGUGAAAUGCUUAGAUAUGACAUAGAACACCAAAUUGCGAAGGCAGCUCACUACUCAAUCAUUGACUCUGAGGCACGAAAAGCGUGGGGAUCAAACAGG
rnacentral:rRNA from 1 species